rnacentral:rRNA from 1 species
CUUCGGAGUGAGCGGCGGACGGGUUAGUAACGCGUGGGAACGUGCCCUUCUCUAAGGAAUAGCCACUGGAAACGGUGAGUAAUACCUUAUACGCCCUUCGGGGGAAAGAUUUAUCGGAGAAGGAUCGGCCCGCGUUAGAUUAGAUAGUUGGUGGGGUAAUGGCCUACCAAGUCUACGAUCUAUAGCUGGUUUUAGAGGAUGAUCAGCAACACUGGGACUGAGACACGGCCCAGACUCCUACGGGAGGCAGCAGUGGGGAAUCUUGGACAAUGGGCGCAAGCCUGAUCCAGCCAUGCCGCGUGAGUGAUGAAGGCCUUAGGGUCGUAAAGCUCUUUCGCCAGAGAUGAUAAUGACAGUAUCUGGUAAAGAAACCCCGGCUAACUCCGUGCCAGCAGCCGCGGUAAUACGGAGGGGGUUAGCGUUGUUCGGAAUUACUGGGCGUAAAGCGCACGUAGGCGGAUCAGAAAGUAUAGGGUGAGAUCCCAGGGCUCAACCCUGGAACUGCCUUGUAAACUCCUGAUCUUGAGUUCGAGAGAGGUAAGUGG